AGCGGAGCAUGUGGUUUAAUUCGAAGCAACGCGAAGAACCUUACCAGGGCUUGACAUGCCGCUGACCGGUGCAGAGAUGCAUCUUUAUCCUUCGGGGUACAGCGGACACAGGUGGUGCAUGGUUGUCGUCAGCUCGUGUCGUGAGAUGUUGGGUUAAGUCCCGCAACGAGCGCAACCCUUGUCUUUAGUUGCCAUCAUUAAGUUGGGCACUCUAAAGAGACUGCCGAUGACAAACCGGAGGAAGGUGGGGAUGACGUCAAGUCCUCAUGGCCCUUAUGACCAGGGCUACACACGUGCUACAAUGGCCGGUACAAAGAGUUGCAAUACCGCGAGGUGGAGCUAAUCUCAUAAAGCCGGUCUCAGUUCGGAUUGGAGUCUGCAACUCGACUCCAUGAAGUUGGAAUCGCUAGUAAUCGCGGAUCAGCACGCCGCGGUGAAUACGUUCCCGGGCCUU
rnacentral:rRNA from 2 species